GGCAAGAUGGCUAAGGAAGAAGGUGGGCAGCGGAGCCGGUGAAGGAAGCCGCAGGCGCGGAUGGAGGCGAAGAGAUCAGGAGCAGUAAAGGAACACUCUCUUCCCCAGUCAGCUGGGAUACGGAUUUUGUAAGGCCUAGGGACUUUGUCUUUGGAGGUCCUGUCUCCAUAAGAAAUUAGAAGAUUUUUGUGGAGCUCCCCUUUUCUGCAAAGGAUCGUGGGUCCUAGGCACUAUCGUACUGCAUCUAAUGGAGAAGUCACCCUUGUCCCCAAAAGAAUGGCAUCUUGUUUGUUUCCUCCUAUAAAUAAAUUUAUCCCUGAUUUCCAAGAACUCAUAACCUAGAUCAUCUCUGAUUUCACAUUUCCUGCUGCUCUUAUAGCUGCCCCCUGCUCAGGAAGAUAAAUAAAUAAAUAAAUAAGACAUAGGACAAUUUCUAAAUCAGAGUUUAAUGGUCUUUGAAUCUUAAAGGAUUUAUCAAGAUAAGGUAGGAAAUCAACUACCUUUUAUGAGUAACUGCUAUGUGCUGGUGUCAUUUA
rnacentral:lncRNA from 1 species